rnacentral:rRNA from 1 species
AUUGAACGCUGGCGGCAUGCCUUACACAUGCAAGUCGAACGGUAACGGGCCUUCGGGUGCCGACGAGUGGCGAACGGGUGAGUAAUGUAUCGGAACGUACCUUUCAGUGGGGGAUAACGUAGCGAAAGUUACGCUAAUACCGCAUAUUCUGUGCGCAGGAAAGCAGGGGAUCGCAAGACCUUGCGCUGAUUGAGCGGCCGAUAUCAGAUUAGCUAGUUGGUGAGGUAAAGGCUCACCAAGGCGACGAUCUGUAGCGGGUCUGAGAGGAUGAUCCGCCACACUGGAACUGAGACACGGUCCAGACUCCUACGGGAGGCAGCAGUGGGGAAUUUUGGACAAUGGGCGCAAGCCUGAUCCAGCCAUGCCGCGUGAGUGAAGAAGGCCUUCGGGUUGUAAGACUCUUCGGCUGGGAAGAAAUACGCAUCUCCUAAUAACGGGGUGGUGGAUGACGGUACCAGCAUAAGAAGCACCGGCGUAACUACGUGCC